rnacentral:snRNA from 1 species
GUAAAGUUAAAACACAUGUACAAAAAAUAGAAUGAUAGAGACAAAAUUAGCAUGGCACCUACACUACUGAUACACAAAUUUGUGAAACAUUGUAAUUUUUU